GCCGUGUGGCGUGGCAGCAGUGUGCUUCCCUGUCGACUGUUCGCUGCAAGUGCUGAGGCCCACUUGAGCAGCAGAAAAACACAAUGGGACCCGGGGAGAAGCUCUGAUCUGAGUGGAGAUCCUUUUGUGUGCUGUACUCACUGAGGCAGGCAAUUCUACACCUGGACGGGGUCCUCUGAGACCACGCAGCCCAGCCUUGGUUCCCAGAGUUUUGCCUGAAAAUCAGGACUCCUGCCCUCAUGCCAGGAUUCCAGGCCCAGGAAAUAACUAAACUGAAAGAAAGAGUGACAACUGCCAGAGCAGCGUUCCUUACACAGCAGAUUAAAGUGGAUAAAAUAUCAAUCCAGAAUCAUUUUGUUCAGUGGAUAGAAGAAACAGCAGUAACAACCUCUCCGAUUAUAGUGAGUGGCUGGCUCCAUGAACCACUGUUUGUGCAUUUAAAUCACAAAAAUCUCAAUUUAGCUCUAUUUGGACUGGUUCUCCAUUGGGAGGGAUAGAACUCUGUUAGGCCAAUGGAGUGGUGACUUUCCCACCACCCCAUCAAUCAUCAAGGUGGAACUGACAAAGGACAGCGACUCAGCUUCCAUCGCAGCAGGAACUAGAGAUUCUUGGCUUAGGGGAGCCAGGUGCCUCACUUUUCUGGGCUUGUUGCCACCAACUGAGUGGAUUUCAAAUCUUGAGCUGCCUUUCAGCUGGCUCUCUGCUGAUAUGGCUGGGGUGAAACUGAAGCGGGACCUUCACGCAGUGCCUGAAGAAGCUAGAGAAGCUAGUCAGUCACCCUGCUCUUCCUUGCCUCUCAAGAGGAGCUCUUAUGAGCUGGGAAAUUCCUUCUUGGCACUGAACGAUGCUGGCUUGGGGGCAUGGGUGGGAUGAUAGAGGCAAAAUGAAGUUGUCUUCCUUCUCUUCUGAGAUUAUUCUUAGCUUUUUUUGUUCCAUGAUAUUGCUAAAACUUCCCAAGUGGAUUCUAGAGGUCUGGAGUUGUUUUUGUUUGCAGAUAGCUGUCUAAUUGUUGAUCUUUGUGGGGGGGCUGGGGAAGCUGAGAUUCCUACGUCACCAUUUUUUUCCUCAGAAUCCUAAAACUUUUAAGUUUUUUUAGUAAGGUUGUAAGAUACAAAAUCAAAAAGUAAAAAUCAACUGUAUUUUCUUACACUAGCCAUGAACAGUCAGCAGUUGGAUUAUUUAAAAAUACUAUUUAUAAUAUUGAAAAAUAUGAAAUAUUUAGAAACUAAUCUGACAAAUGAUAUGCAAGACCUGUCCACUGAAAACCAUAAAACUUUACUGAGAGAAAUUAGAGAGGAUCAAAGUAAUUCAAGACUAUAUCUGGAUUAGAAUGAGUAGUGUUGCUAAAAUGCCAGUUCUCCCCAAAUUGCUGGGUAGAUUGAAUACAAUCCCAACAAAAAUUUCAACAGGCUUUUUUGUGUAGAAAUGUACAAGCCAAUGUUAAAAUUUAUAUGGCAAUGUAGAAGACCUAGAAUUGUCAAAAUAGCUUUGAAAAAAGACAAAAUACUAACAGUACCCGAUUCUAAAACUUAUUAUAAAUCUAUAGUAAUCAAGAUGGUAUGUAAAUUUAGACAGAUAAAGAGUCCAGAAUAGACAUAUAGAUGUGUGUGUGUGUGUGUGUGUGUGUGUGUAAGUGAAACUUGAAAAAUAAGUAGAAUUGCCAGGGUUUUCCAGCAGAUGGGACAGUGUGAG
rnacentral:lncRNA from 1 species